GACGAACGCUGGCGGCGUGCUUAACACAUGCAAGUCGAACGGAAAGGCCUGCUUUCCCUUGUGGAUUGCGGGUACUCGAGUGGCGAACGGGUGAGUAACACGUGAGUGAUCUGCCCCCAACUUGGGUAUAAGCCUGGGAAACUGGGUCUAAUUCCCGAUAGGACUGCAGGGUGGUGCCUGUGGUGGAAAACGAUUUUCUAGUGGUUGGGGAUGAGCUCGCGGCCUAUCAGCUUGUUGGUGGGGUAAUGGCCUACCAAGGCGGCGACGGGUAGCCGGCCUGAGAGGGUGGACGGCCACAUUGGGACUGAGAUACGGCCCAGACUCCUACGGGAGGCAGCAGUGGGGAAUAUUGCAUAAUGGGCGGAAGCCUGAUGCAGCGACGCCGCGUGGGGGAUGACGGCCUUCGGGUUGUAAACUCCUUUCGACCGCGAGGAAGCCACCUGGUUGGAAGGGUGGUGACGGUAGUGGUAGAAGAAGCACCGGCUAACUACGUG
rnacentral:rRNA from 1 species